ensembl:lncRNA
UCACCUGAGUGACCGGAAGGGGUGGAUCCUGGCUGCACCCCUCCUAGGCCCCAUUUAAGGGCUGACUCCCAAGGAGGAUGGGUCUCUAUCUGGAGAUCACUCCUCUUGGAGCCCUUCUGUGAGCCCAGGACACAGGUUUCGUGUUUAUAGAACGAAGAAGGACAUCUUGUAAAGGCGCCUUUUCAUGUGCGGAGAGACCAUAAAAAUAUCAAGACCCCAGAAUGUUAAAGAGAAUCAGGAAUGCACAUGGAAAAUGCUACACUAAUCACUGAAUUUCUGCUCCCAAAGACCUCUGUUUACUGAGCUGCAGCCAGCCCUGAUGAGCUUGGAGUAUGCCAGCAAAAGUGUGCAUAUCAGAAAGCUGCUGUGGAGUACAUGUUGUGAAGUGUAUGGGAACUGUUGAAUCACGGCCUGAACCUCUGAUUGACCACCUGAGGACAAACCUAGAGGUUUCAUCCCAAAAGAACAAACUUCUAGCAAAAGGCAUGGAUUAAGGAAAAAAGCUCAGGUUGGCCAGAAAUGGUGGGUGGGGAAGAGGACAUAACAGAACGAAAGCCAAGAAGAAAAUUGCAGCAAAGGGAUGGAGGAGUGCUGCUUAACCGUCUGUCUCCUGAAGUCUUCAGAUGUUGGCUAAGAUUUCCUCUGCUGGAUGUGUAUGUCAGACUUCUACAAAAUCAACCCCCGCUCAACUACUCUGAGCUGGUAGGCAUCCUAAGUAAUGCUGUUGAAUAAACUGAAGUAAUUUGGGAUACAAUUUGGCAUAAGAGAUCACAAUUACUCUCCUGAGAUUAUUCCAGCAUUACAUCCACUUAUGAAACUACAAAAGAAAUCUGUCCACUGUUCCCAGGGCAGAGUGAAGAAAAUGGGCACCAAUUUAGACUGUCUCUGCCAGGAAACAUAUAAUAAUGCUGUCGUUUCUAAGAAAACUCUGCAGCAGCAGGCUCAGACAGCUACGAAGUAGAGCACAUGCAUGGAUUUGUCAUCCUGCCUUACUCUUAAACAACAUUAGCUUCUUUGUCAAUUGUGAGAAAGUGAGGGAAAACCCCUUGGAGGUGUGCCACACAUUUAUUUGUUCCUGAGCUCUUAUAGCAAUGUUGGCUACAACACAAUCCUUUUUUUAGAAAAGAAAGGUGAUCAUCUGUGCAACUUGUUCUGAAAAGUCAACAGACGUGGCAAGAAAAUGCAUUUCUCAAACACAUGUUGACUUGUGACAUCCAAGGACAGGAUGCUUGUGACCGCACAUAUCCGAUGUUCAUGGCAGAUCAUGAGUGCUGCUGCCUGUCCCUUUCAGCUCUGCUUCUGGUAUGAAUAAGUCAUCCAGCAUGGGAGCAUGCAUGGGCUGGAGGUGCUCUGCUACUCCAACAUGGAAUGUUGCAAGCUCCAGCAAUUAGAAAUUCAUCUUCUAUGAAAGCUGCAGGAAGCGCUGACUGUCUACUUCCAGUGUGCCUGCCCAAAGGGAGACCUCUCUGCUGGAUCCCAACAAGAGGAGAUGACAAACAAGACAAGCGCAUUUCGUAGCACCCAUGACUCAGAUGGAGCAGAUCAGCUCUUCAGCUAUUGCUUCAUUAACCAAGGCUUGUUUGCUACAGACAUCACCAUCAAGAGUUUCCAGAGAUGCCACUGAAAGGUGUCCAUAUGUGUGCGGUGGGGAACCUGGCCAGCUCGCAGAGCCGCCUCUCCUCCAAGAACUGCAUACUGAGGCUUCUCAGUGUUGCAGAAAAAGCCACUGUUGCUUCCAAACUGCUAUAGGAACUGACAGGAGCGCUCCAUAUCCAGGUGCUGACUGACCACUGAAGAGCAGUUUGUAUGAAGAGCCUCAAAGGAGCUUCCAAAAGAAACUCAAAAACCUUGAGCUUACAACCUGGAGGAUGUUUGUCUACAUUUGCGAGGUAAAAUGCAGUUAUGCUUCAAAAUAAAGGAAAAUGCUGUGGUCUGUGGGUUAGUUCAUGAAGACCUCGAGUUUACUAUGGUAACUCCUUUUACAUUUUUAAUUAUAUCGCACCCUUAAUAUUUUGAAGAAAAGGAUUAGCAUACAGAGAGCAGAAAACUUUAUGCACUUUCUUCUUUGAAUGCUAAAAACUCUAGAAUUCAUUUCUGUUUCCUGAUAUGCACUUGAGAAAAAAUUGAGAUGACAGCAUGAUGUUUGAUCAUGACUCAUUAAAAUGGUGCCCAGGCUUCCUGCUCCGACACAACAGACAGUUGCGUAGCUGUUUGCAACUUUGACUUAAUAGGAUUUUGCAAUGCAGUUUCACAAUGCCACUUUCUCCCACUUUGCAUUUAAGAAUCCAGUCGCUUACUGCUUAAAUAUCCCAAUAAGCUUCUGAGAGGAGACUUUCAGCUCUCCCCGCUUGUAGCUUUUCCUAAUCUUUCACCAUCCGGCAUCUCCCCUGUGCCUCGGGCCAAGCGCUCUGAGCAGUACAUCCAUGGAUGUUGUUUGAGUUACGGGAGUUGCACCUCCCAGUAACACAUUCUUAUCCCUUUACAUCACAAAGUGAACCGCCAGCCCCAUUCAAUCAUUGAUAGUCUUUGGUGUCUCUUCAUUGCGCAGUGGUUAUUGCUAUAAACAGUCUUCACCAAAGUUCCCGUGUUUUUCCUGCUCUGCCAUAGAGGAGCCACCAAGGUUCCUGUUUGUCACCAGGUGACCAGCACUGUUUUGGUAAACUGUUCAACCCAUUUGAAGUGCCAUGGAGCCAAAUUGUGGAAAGGGCUUGUUCCAUCUUGCUGGCCUGAGCGCACCCAGCGUGGGGCUGGGAAUACCGGGAACACAAGUGGUUAUGAAAGGAAGAAAAGUGAAAAAAAGGGUUUUACUGAGAAGUAUGAUGUCACCCAGAUCACAGUCUAUUUCUGGAACUAAGCUGUGAAACCCAUGACACAUUUUGACACAUAAAUGUUGCCAAGUAAAACUGAUAAUAUAUAAUUGUUUAAUAGGGUCACAGCCAACUGUUUUCCAGAUAAGGAGCUGAACUCUUCCAUGCAAUAUAGCAUUUGUGGAACGUUACACCUAGUUGGUUCCAUGCUUUCAUUGGCUCUGGGAUUACUUCCUAUCAUAUUUAAAUAAAAAGACUAGAUUAUUGGGUACCAUAAGAACAAUGGAUUGUUUAAUGGUCUUAUGGCACUUAUCUUAAGUCAAUACGAAAGUUUUGAGUUUCUAGGGCUAUGUCAAGGGCAGUGAAACAAGGACUGCAUUCAGUGAAUUACUCAUUUGUUUAUUUUUUAAUGCACAUUUAAGUAUCUCAUUUUGGGGACUCAGAUAUACAUAGAUGAUUCAGUUAAAUGCAGAUUAAUUUACCAAAAAAAAAAAAAAAGAGAAAGAAAUUGUGCUUGUCUGAGAAACAGAAUCUGGUAGAAAAUAUUAUUAUGCUAUUAUGUGCAAUUUGUUCUAGAUAAAAGUAAUGAUCAAACAACUUCCUUGUCUCUUUGCCAUGGUGCAAAUUUCCUGUGAUAGAGGUCUAUUUUGUAUAGAAUUCUUCAUCCAAGCUUUGUUCCUAGAAGCUUGACAGGGAUCCAUAAUGUAAUUACAGUUAUUAGGAGUAAGUAAUACCAGUAAAAAGAGAUGCUAUAGAAGUGUAGAUAUGGAAGGGAAGAGAUAGGUUCUGAUAUGAAACAGAGAGAGACUGUAGCCCAGAAAUGUAUGAAAAUUGCUCAGGACACAGAGGCAAAGAGCAAAGGCCAGGUCUCCAGGUGUGCAAGGAACAAGAGGGG